rnacentral:rRNA from 1 species
CGCUGGCGGCAGGCCUAACACAUGCAAGUCGAGCGGAUCCUUCGGGAUUAGUGGCGGACGGGUGAGUAACACGUGGGAACGUGCCUUGUGGUUCGGAACAACUCAGGGAAACUUGAGCUAAUACCGGAUGUGCCCUUCGGGGGAAAGAUUUAUCGCCAUUAGAGCGGCCCGCGUCUGAUUAGCUAGUUGGUGAGGUAAAGGCUCACCAAGGCAACGAUCAGUAGCUGGUCUGAGAGGAUGAUCAGCCACAUUGGCACUGAGACACGGCCCAAUCUCCUACGGGAGGCAGCAGUGGGGAAUCUUGCGCAAUGGGCGAAAGCCUGACGCAGACAUGCCGCGUGA